UUUUCUGGUGCUUGCACUAGAAAAACUUAGCGGCGAACGGGUGAGUAACACGUAAAGAACCUGCCUCAUAGACGGGGACAACUAUUGGAAACGAUAGCUAAUACCGGAUAACAGCAUAAAUCGCAUGAUAUAUGUUUAAAAGUUGGUUUCGGCUAACACUAUGAGAUGGCUUUGCGGUGCAUUAGCUAGUUGGUGGGGUAAAGGCCUACCAAGGCGACGAUGCAUAGCCGACCUGAGAGGGUGAUCGGCCACACUGGGACUGAGACACGGCCCAGACUCCUACGGGAGGCAGCAGUAGGGAAUCUUCCGCAAUGGGCGAAAGCCUGACGGAGCAACGCCGCGUGAGUGAAGAAGGAUUUCGGUUCGUAAAGCUCUGUUGUUAGGGAAGAAUGAUUGUAUAGUAACUAUAUACAGUAGAGACGGUACCUAACCAGAAAGCCACGGCUAACUACGUGCCAGCAGCCGCGGUAAUACGUAGGUGGCAAGCGUUGUCCGGAAUUAUUGGGCGUAAAGCGCGCGCAGGUGGUUUAAUAAGUCUGAUGUGAAAGCCCACGGCUCAACCGUGGAGGGUCAUUGGAAACUGUUAAACUUGAGUGCAGGAGAGAAAAGUGGAAUUCCUAGUGUAGCGGUGAAAUGCGUAGAGAUUAGGAGGAACACCAGUGGC
rnacentral:rRNA from 1 species